CCCCUCUCAGGGUCGCACUUGGAGAGUUUCCAAUCCUCUACCAGCCUCGACUAGGGGAGGGAGAGUCAAGCAGAGGCCUACCCAUUCCAUUCCUAGCUUGGGUGGGGGCUAGACAGUGGAAGGCAAUCAGCGACAAGU